rnacentral:rRNA from 1 species
AUUGAACGCUGGCGGAAUGCUUUACACAUGCAAGUCGAACGGCAGCACGGACGUCGGUCUGGUGGCGAGUGGCGAACGGGUGAGUAAUGUAUCGGAACGUGCCCAGUCGUGGGGGAUAACGUAGUGAUAAUUACGCUAAUACCGCAUACGAUCUAUGGAUGAAAGCGGGGGAUCGUAGGACCUCGCGCGAUUGGAUCGGCCGAUAUCAGAUUAGGUAGUUGGUGGGGUAAAGCCCCACCAAGCCAACGAUCUGUAGCUGGUCUGAGAGGACGACGAGCAACACUGAAACGAAGACAAGGUCCAGACUCCUACGGGAGGAGGUAGUGGGGAAUUUUGGACAAUGGGCGAGAGCCUGAACCAGCCAUUCCGCGUGCAGGAUGAAGGCCCUCGGGUUGUAAACUGCUUUUGUACAGAACGAAAAGGUUGCUAAGAAUACUAGGAGCUCAUGACGGUACUGUAAGAAUAAGCACCGGCGAACGACGUGCCAGCAGCCGCCGUAA